AUACGGAGGAUCCGAGCGUUAUCCGGAUUUAUUGGGUUUAAAGGGUGCGUAGGCGGGAGAUUAAGUCGGUGGUGAAAUUUUGCAGCUCAACUGUAAAAGUGCCAUUGAUACUGGUUUCCUUGAGUGUGGAUGAAGUAGGCGGAAUUUGUGGUGUAGCGGUGAAAUGCAUAGAUAUCACGAGGAACUCCGAUUGCGCAGGCAGCUUACUAAACCAUAACUGACGCUCAGGCACGAAGCCGUGGGAAUCAAACAGGAUUAGAUACCCUGGUAGUCCACGCAGUAAACGAUGAUUACUAGCUGUUUGCGAUACACAGCAAGCGGCUUAGCGAAAGCGUUAAGUAAUCCACCUGGGGAGUACGUUCGCAAGAAUGAAGCUCAAAGGAAUUGACAGGG
rnacentral:rRNA from 1 species